rnacentral:rRNA from 1 species
CGUGUAGGUGGAUCGUUAAGUCGGGGGUGAAAUCCCGGGGCUCAACCCCGGAACUGCCUUCGAUACUGGCGAUCUUGAGGGUGAGAGAGGCGAGUGGAAUUUCGAGUGUAGCAGUGAAAUGCGUAGAUAUUCGAAGGAACACCAGUGGCGAAGGCGACUCGCUGGCUCACUACUGACACUGAGAUGCGAAAGCGUGGGGAGCAAACA